UACGUAGGGGGCAAGCGUUGUCCGGAUUUAUUGGGCGUAAAGAGCGUGUAGGCGGCCAGGUAGGUCCGUUGUGAAAACUGGAGGCUUAACCUCCAGCUGUCGAUGGAAACCAUCUGGCUAGAGUCCGGAAGAGAAGAGUGGAAUUCCACGUGUAGCGGUGAAAUGCGUAGAGAUGUGGAGGAACACCAGUGGCGAAGGCGACUCUUUGGCCUGUAACUGACGCUGAGGCGCGAAAGCGUGGGGAGCAAACGGG
rnacentral:rRNA from 1 species